rnacentral:lncRNA from 1 species
UGUUAUCCCAUAUUUUAGCUCGAGCUAAAAUAUGUUUUCAUCUCUAAUUCCAAAGACAUUCAUUAUUGAAAGUAGUGCCAGACUUUAAAUGUCUUCAAGAACAAGAGAGUUUAACUCUCUAACUCUCUUAUCUUAUCAUUUAAUGAAGGUUAAGGGUAAUGUCUUUAAGAAUAAGAGAGUUCUGAUGGAAAGUAUGCUUUAUAUGGCUUUAUAUGAAUCUACCAGAUAUGAAGAGAUUCUAUCUUUCAAAGUAGAUAAAUGAUUCGAUGACAAUUGAUGAAUCGAAACGUUUAAAGUCAUGGACUUAGAGUAUUUUUCAUCCUUCAAAUGUGAUUCGACUUCGACAGUUAUAACAGUUCAAGGCUUUGGUUCAUUUCAAAUGUAAAGGGACGCGUGGCAGAAGAUUAUUAGUUCAACGUUAAAGUAGCAGUUACUUAGUUUUUCUAUAAAUAGGAGUUUGUAUAGUCGAAAUAGGGGUCACAAUUCAUUUACACAAACUCUCAAACACUCAAAGUACCCAUGUUAAAGCGAGAAACGAGUUACUCGAGAAAGAUGUAUGAAUCAGUGAACCAUUCUAUUUUCUUUGUAACUGUAACGACCCAAAUUUAUUAUUCACUAUUUAAGUGUUUAAUUAUUUGGUGAUGUGGUUUUUAAGUAAGAUAGUAACUUUAAGUUAUUUAUCGAGAGUUUUAGUUAACGCGCGAGUUAGUGAGAGUUAACGUGAGUUGGGCCAAGCUAUUGGGCUUGAGGCCCGUUGGGCCUUGUGAGCUAGAGGGGGGCGCUAUUUAGCCCUUGUAGUGAGAGAAAGAGUUCAUUUUCUUGUUCUUGGGAGAAGUAGAGAGAAGGGAGAGCAAGA